rnacentral:rRNA from 1 species
CCUACGGGGGGCUGCAGUAGGGAAUAUUGCACAAUGGGGGAAACCCUGAUGCAGCAACGCCGCGUGGGCGAUGAAGGAUUUCGGAAUGUAAACCCCUAUCGGCAGAGAAGAAAAUGACGGUAUCUAACGAAUAAGCACCGGCUAACUACGUGCCAGCAGCCGCGGUAAUACGGAGGGGGCAAGCGUUAUGCGGAAUCACUGGGGGUAAAGGGAGCGUAGGCGGGAGAGCAAGGCAGAUGUGAAAGCCUGUGGCUGAACCACGGGACUGCAUUUGAAACUGUUAUGCUAGAGUAUGGGAGAGGUAGGUGGAAUUCUUAGUGUAGCGGUGAAAUGCGUAGAGAUCAGGAGGAAUACUAGUGGCGAAGGCGACCUGCUGGACGAUAACUGACGUUGAGGCGCGAAAGCGUGGGGAGCAAACAGGAUUAGAUACCCUUGUAGUC